UCGCGCUUAUUUCGUUCUCCGUCGGCGAUGGACUCAGCGUAACCCGC
rfam:Pelobacter acetylenicus strain DSM 3247 genome.